AGAGUUUGAUCAUGGCUCAGAUUGAACGCUGGCGGCAUGCUUUACACAUGCAAGUCGAACGGUAACGCGGGGGCAACCCUGGCGACGAGUGGCGAACGGGUGAGUAAUACAUCGGAACAUGUCCUGGAGUGGGGGAUAGCUCGGCGAAAGCCGGAUUAAUACCGCAUACGCCCGAGAGGGGAAAGCCGGGGACCGCAAGGCCUGGCGCGAAUGGGUUGGCCGAUGCCCGAUUAGCUAGUUGGUGAGGUAAAGGCUCACCAAGGCGAUGAUCGGUAGCUGGUCUGAGAGGAUGAUCAGCCACACUGGGACUGAGACACGGCCCAGACUCCUACGGGAGGCAGCAGUGGGGAAUUUUGGACAAUGGGGGCAACCCUGAUCCAGCCAUUCCGCGUGAGUGAAGAAGGCCUUCGGGUUGUAAAGCUCUUUUGUCCGGAACGAAACGGUUUGCGUGAAUAGCGCCGACUACUGACGGUACCGGAAGAAUAAGCACCGGCUAACUACGUGCCAGCAGCCGCGGUAAUACGUAGGGUGCGAGCGUUAAUCGGAAUUACUGGGCGUAAAGCGUGCGCAGGCGGUUUUGUAAGCCAGAUGUGAAAGCCCCGGGCUUAACCUGGGAAUGGCAUUUGGGACUGCAAGGCUGGAGUGUGGCAGAGGAGACUGGAAUUCCUGGUAGCAGUGAAAUGCGUAGAUAUCAGGAGGAAUACCGAUGGCGAAGGCAGGUCUCUGGGCUGACACUGACGCUCAUGCACGAAAGCGUGGGGAGCAAACAGGAUUAGAUACCCUAGUAGUCC
rnacentral:rRNA from 1 species